UCAAACUCGAAAACUUAAGUACAUGAGAACAAAGAAAUGUGUCCACAAGGAUACAAAUUUCAGUACGUGUGUAUCUUAGGGGUAGGGAUAGAAGGCAAAACACAGAGUCCGGCUUCAUGUACAAUCAAGUGGCUCAUUUGCCUUGUAUUAAGUCACCUCUUGUCUGCAAUUGAGAUACCGAAUACAUUGUAAAUGUAAAUGUGCACGUACUGCACACAUUUUGUUUCCAUUGUCUCCGUCUAGAUAUCAGAUAUCAUGUAUUCAGAUACUUGUACAUAUGGUCAUUUUCCCAGUUGGACCCAGAACGCAAAACUAACAUUGACAGUCACAAACAAAAUCACAAUCUCAUUUCCAUGCUUUAAAGUGGAAUUUCAUUGACCAAAAAAAAAAUCUCGUCAAUUUUGUUUUUGUUUUACAAAAGUUGAAGCGCUGAACUCUGGUAGGGAAAAGUGUUGUAGAAAUUGGAAAAUCAUUCAAUUCAUAAAACUAUAGUAUCAUUUCAUCUGAAAGAAUAAAAAGCAAAAGCUUAGCACUUUUACCUCAAAAAAAAAUCAUGCUUUUAUUAUUUGUCAAGUAAAACAAGGUAAUCACAAUGUCGGGUCUUUCUGUAUAUGUUUGCUGCAGAGUAUCUGGUUGAACUUGGUCAAGUUUUAUCAUUUUGUUUUUGUUUUCAUGUUUUCUUUUUUUGACUGAAAUGCCACAG